AAAAAAAAUAAUAAUAAAUAAAAGAUAUAGAUAUCUACAUAAUUAAUAAUAUUUAUAAUAUUUAUAAGACUUUGCUAUUUUUCAUCUUCUUUUUAAUUAUCUCCGACUGAGAGAGCUAUACUUCCUCUUCAACCUAAACCCUAACAUCUCUCUCUGUGAAGUGUAACCUCUUCAGCUCAAACCUUGGUUGGUUCAAGAAAGAAAACGAUUCUACAACUACACAUAAGUUCAGUCCACUUUGAUUGGUUAUGAACUCAUGGCUGAACAGAGUAGUAUAAACAAUUGUGGUCUUCCGAAGAAAAAAAGAAUAAAAUUUAAGAGAACAUCGAUUGCUAAAGCUGAGGACAGAUUAUCUAAGCUACCUAAUAUAAUUCUUGUACAUAUUCUAUCAUUUCUCCCAACUACAAACGGUGUGGUUCGAACUUGCAUACUUUCAAAGCGUUGGAAAUUGAUAUGGUAUUCACUUCCUAAACUCUCUUUCUGUGACACUACUACUACUGUUUGCGAAUUUCAAAAGUUCCAAAAUUAUGUUGACAAUUGUUUUGAACACUGCAAGAAAGGUAUGUAUUUUAUUGCUGAUUCAGCUCUAAUUAGUUUCAAGCUUCAGAUAAAAAGCUUUCUACGAAGCAAGGCUUGCAGCCUAGAUAAAUGGAACUGAGUCUUGACUUAGAACCAAGAAAUGGUGAGAGUGAGAAUGAUGGUUAUUACUGUUUUUACUACUACUGCUUACCUAAAACAGUAUUCAACUUAAGAGGUUUGACCAUUUUGGAGUUGUGUGGAAUUGAGUUGGGUUACUCAUUUGGUUUUCCAUCCUUGAAAUCAUUAUCAUUGGAACAUUUUCGGCUUUCAAAAAAUGUAAUUGCUGAUGUGCUAACCAAGUCUUUCAUGGAUUGCCCUUCCCUUGAGAAACUGUUGUUAAGUUUGUGUUUUACUCGUAAUCCGCUCUGAGUACAAAGUUCAAGCCUCAAGUUCAUGACACUUAAGUUUCCUAAUGUAUCUCAUCGAGUUGAAGCCGUAAAUGUUGAAUCUUUGGUGCUAUGUUGGGCUUUAUUCGGGAAAAUAAAUCUGUCUGCAUGUAAGGCAAUCAAAAAUCUCUCACUAGUUAAUUGUGAAUGGGAUCUGACAAGCCAGUCAUCAUUCGAAGAUCUCAUUACAAACCUCCCACUCCUUGAGGAUUUGACAAUUGAUAAUUCUUAUCAUAAGUCGGGGUUGGAGCAUCUUACAAUCUCAAAUCAACACUUGAAAAGCCUCAAAUUGAGAAAUAUGAACAAGGUUGUCACAAUUAAAUCAGUGCCAAACUUAGUUUCGUUUUGUUAUGAAGGUAAUAUCAAUUGCAGCAUAUCAAUAUUGUAAAAUUUGUUGAAUGGAAAAUUUUUCAUUGAUGAUUUUUUUCUGAAUCUCAAUUGCUCGUGGAAUAUUGUAACACUGCAACUUUCUUCUGAUAAGGCGCUCAUCAUGCCAGACAAUUGUAAAAGGCUAUGUCGUUCUCCUUUACUCAAAUGGAAGCAUGUCAGAGUUCUUUUAGGUUCUUGCACAGGGUGAUUUUCAAGCGUGUUCAUGCGUAACUUAGCGAGAGUUACGAUUGAAAGAUGUGGUUAUGUGGAUUUCACCAUCCAUGGAAACAUUAUCUUUCAAUGGAGAGGACAUAUUCUAGCUAUCCUAUAUCAUAGCUGAUGUUAAAAUAUUAGUCAUUUUGAGCUUGUAUAUAUUAUAUUAGUAUCUUAUUAGUUACUACUAAUGAAGUUGACUAAUUUCAUGUUGCCUAGUUGGUUUGUUUUGAGAAAAAAGAAAGAGUGGUAGAAGUUAAAGUAUUAUACCCUUUGUUCUAAUGUAUUUUGAUGGCUCUCUUUGUUUUAAAUGAAGAUCCAAGUUAAUCAAA